rnacentral:rRNA from 1 species
AACGAACGCUGGCGGCAGGCCUAACACAUGCAAGUCGAACGCCCCGCAAGGGGAGUGGCAGACGGGUGAGUAACGCGUGGGAACCUUCCCUGUGGUACGGAAUAACUGACCGAAAGGUUAGCUAAUACCGUAUACGUCCGAGAGGAGAAAGAUUUAUCACCAUAGGAUGGGCCCGCGUCGGAUUAGCUAGUUGGUGAGGUAAUGGCUCACCAAGGCGACGAUCCGUAGCUGGUCUGAGAGGAUGAUCAGCCACACUGGGACUGAGACACGGCCCAGACUCCUACGGGAGGCAGCAGUGGGGAAUAUUGGACAAUGGGCGCAAGCCUGAUCCAGCCAUGCCGCGUGAGUGAUGAAGGUCUUCGGAUUGUAAAACUCUUUCGCCGGGGAAGAUAAUGACGGUACCCGGAGAAGAAGCUCCGGCUAACUUCGUGCCAGCAGCCGCGGUAAU